CACCGCGGUUAUACGGGUUAGCCCAAGUUGACAGCCUGCGGCGUAAAGCGUGGUUAGGGGCACUUAAAGACUAAAGCCGAAUUAUCCUUCAGCUGUUGCACGCUAACAGGAUAGAGAAGUUCAACUACGAAAGUGACUUUACUAAAUUUCCCUGAACCCACGAAAGUUUUGAUA
rnacentral:rRNA from 1 species